GACGAACGCUGGCGGCGUGCCUAAUACAUGCAAGUAGAACGCACAGUUUAUACCGUAGCUUGCUACACCAUAGACUGUGAGUUGCGAACGGGUGAGUAACGCGUAGGUAACCUGCCUGGUAGCGGGGGAUAACUAUUGGAAACGAUAGCUAAUACCGCAUAAUAUUGAUUAUUGCAUGAUAAUUGAUUGAAAGAUGCUAUUGCAUCACUACCAGAUGGACCUGCGUUGUAUUAGCUAGUAGGUGAGGUAACGGCUCACCUAGGCGACGAUACAUAGCCGACCUGAGAGGGUGAUCGGCCACACUGGGACUGAGACACGGCCCAGACUCCUACGGGAGGCAGCAGUAGGGAAUCUUCGGCAAUGGACGAAAGUCUGACCGAGCAACGCCGCGUGAGUGAAGAAGGUUUUCGGAUCGUAAAGCUCUGUUGUAAGAGAAGAACGGGUGGGAGAGUGGAAAGUUCACACUGUGACGGUAUCUUACCAGAAAGGGACGGCUAACUACGUG
rnacentral:rRNA from 1 species